rnacentral:lncRNA from 1 species
CCUCUGGCUUUGGAGAAGUUGUAUGAGCAGGGAGCAGACAGCAGCAAAGAAUCCUUUUCAGUUGAGGACAGCAUGAUGGGACUUCAGGAAGAAAGUGGCCCUUGAACCUCUUAAAGGAUGAGCAGGACUCAGAUGCCAAGACCAUCUGGAGCCCAGAAGGACAGGCACAGCAGAAGGAAGGGGAGAUGGCUCAUUUCAGCUGCUUGGACACACCCGCCUUGGAAGGGAGCCUCCCCAGAGCAUGCGGCUGCUACUGUUGCCCUCAGGGUCUCUUCUCCAGGUUGUUCUACACUCAGGUUUCACUCCGGGCACAUUAGACUGGAUCAGAGGCUCUGCUACGACCAGCGUGUGUGUUAGUCACUCAGUCGUGUCCUACUCUUUGUGACCCCAUGGACUGUAGCCCACCAGGCUCAUCUGUUCAUGGAAUUCUCCAGGCCAAGAAUACUGGAGUGGGCUAUCAUUCCCUUCUCCAGGGGAUCUUCCCAACCCAGGGAUCGAACCCAGAUCUCCCACACUGCAGGCAGGUUCUUUACUAUCUGAGCCACCUGGGAAGCCCCUGCUACAACUCACUGAACGGUGACGUGCCAAGAAGUUAAAACCGAAGCAACAUGAUGAUGCUUGAAGAGACUCCAGGGCUGGGGCUUCCACGGUGGCUCAGUGGUAAAGAACCUGCCUGUCAGUGCAGGGGACAUGGGUUCAGUCACUGAUCCAGGAAGAUCCCGAAUGCCGCAGAGCAGCCAGGCCCGCCUGCCGCAGCUACUGAGCCUGCGCGUUGCGACUGCUGAAGCCCACACACCUUAGAGCCUGUGCUCGGAAACAAGAGGAGCCACUGGCAAUGAGAAUCCCGGCACCACAGCUAGAGAGCAGCCCCUCGCUCGCCGCAACUAGAGAAAAACCCGAGCAGCAACUAAGACCCAGCAUAGCCCAAAAUAAAUAAAUACAUAAAAAUCA